GAUGAACGCUAGCGGCAGGCUUAAUACAUGCAAGUCGAGGGGCAGCAUGAAGUAGACUUACUUGGAUGGCGACCGGCAAACGGGUGCGGAAAACGUACACAACCUUCCUUGAAGUGGGGCAUAGCCCAGAGAAAAUCGGUUUAAUACCCCGUAACAUAACGAAGUGGCAUAAAUUUGUUGUUAUAGUUUUGGCGCUUAAUGUUGGGUGUUCGUAUGAUUAGAUAGCUGGCGAGGUAACGGCUCACCAAGUCUACGACCAUUAGCUGAUGUGAGAGCAUGAUCAGCCACACGGGCACUGAGACACGGGCCCGACUCCUACGGAAGGGAGCAGUAAGGAAUAGUGGUCAAUGAACGCAGAUCUGAACCCGCCGUGCCGCGUGAAGAAGUAGGGUCCUCUGGAUUGUUAGCUUCUUUUAUAUGGGAAAAAAAAAGGUCUUUCUAGACCACUUGACGGUACCAUAUGAAUAAGCACCGGCUAACUCCGUG
rnacentral:rRNA from 1 species